UUUCUUUUUCAUAAUUUCUUCGGCUUUUGUGCUUUUCUUUAUAAUUUUUCGUGCGGUUAUCCAUCGAAGGGAUCCAAAAAAGACAAAAGAAGAAAACGAGAAACCAAAAGGGACAAAGCAAUUGGUGGUUAGAAACGCGAAGCCAUGAAGCAACCUCUCUCGUUUUCCGCCAUUCUUUGUAGUAUUCCUUUGUCCGGGCGAAAGUGUUUGCUGCAGAAGUUGUCUGAAUCUUGAAACAAUAGGGAAACUGCUCAUCGACGAGGCCAAAUUCUUGUGGGGCGUGGAGGGCAAGGUCGAGGACCUGCAAAAGGAGCUGAAGCUGAUCCAGUGCUUGCUGGGGGAUGCAGACGCUAGACAAGAGCACGAUCAAGCUGUUGGAGAAUGUCGCACAACUCCGUGACAUUGCCUAUGAUGCCGAGGAUCAUAGAGCGAUACAUCCUCAGAGUCAUGCCGAGGAUGUCAUAGAGCGAUACAUCCUCAGAGUCAUGCUGAAGAAGGGACAAAACAUCAUCAAAGCAUAUGCUUGCUUCGUGGCGAAGUGCACUUGCAUGCAGGUUCAUGUGGUGGGGACAGAAAUUGAGGGCUUAAAAUCCAGGAUCUCGAAUUUGAGAAUUAGUAUGCAGUGUCAUGAAAUACAGUCUGUGAAAAAGGACGAACGCUAUGCCAUUCAAUGUAUUUCCAGUGAUCUUCAACAUAUUGAGGUACAGUUUUUUCUUUUGGUCAAUAUGUUGAGGUACACUUUAUAAUGCAAAGAAACUGAGAUAUGGUCUAUGCGGUUUCCUUUGUCC